rnacentral:rRNA from 1 species
GAUGAACGCUGGCGGCGUGCCUAAUACAUGCAAGUCGAGCGAACAGAUGAGGAGCUUGCUCCUCUGACGUUAGCGGCGGACGGGUGAGUAACACGUGGAUAACCUACCUAUAAGACUGGGAUAACUUCGGGAAACCGGAGCUAAUACCGGAUAAUAUAUUGAACCGCAUGGUUCAAUAGUGAAAGACGGUUUUGCUGUCACUUAUAGAUUGAUCCGCGCCGCAUUAGCUAGUUGGUAAGGUAACGGCUUACCAAGGCAACGAUGCGUAGCCGACCUGAGAGGGUGAGCGGCCACACUGGAGCUGAGACACGGUCCCGACUCCUACGGGAGGCAGCAGUAGGGAAUCUUCCGCAAUGGGCGAAAGCCUGACGGAGCAACGCCGCGUGAGUGAUGAAGGUCUUCGGAUCGUAAAACUAUGUUAUUAGGGAAGAACAAAUGUGUAAGUAACUAUGCACGUCUUGACGGUACCUAAUCAGAAAGCCACGGCUAACUACGUG